rnacentral:rRNA from 1 species
CCUACGGGUGGCAGCAGUGAGGAAUAUUGGUCAAUGGCCGGAAGGCUGAACCAGCCAUGCCGCGUGAAGGUCAGUGCCCUAUGGGCGUUAAACUUCUUUUGUGCGGGAGCAAUAAUGGUCACGGGUGGCCAGACGAGAGUACCGUACGAAUAAGCAUCGGCUAACUCCGUGCCAGCAGCCGCGGUAAUAAGGGGGAUGCAAGCGUUAUCCGGAUUUAUUGGGGUUAAAGGGUGCGUAGGCUGUGAGGUAAGUCAACGGUGAAAUGCCCCCGCGCAACGGGGUGAAGUGCCAUUGAUACUGCCUUGCUGGAAUGCGGAUGCCGUGGGAGGAAUGUGUGGUGUUGCGGUGAAAUGCAUAGAUAUCACACAGAACACCGAUUGCGAAGGCAUCUCACGAAUCCGCGAUUGACGCUGAUGCACGAAAGCGUGGGUAUCAAACAGGAUUAGAUACCCCUGGUAGUC